rnacentral:rRNA from 1 species
GACGAACGCUGGCGGCGUGCUUAACACAUGCAAGUCGAACGGUGAAGCGCCUUCCUUUUUGGUGGGUGUGGAUGAGUGGCGAACGGGUGAGUAACACGUUAGUAACCUGCUCCCUUCUUCUGGAUAACCGCAUGAAAGUGUGGCUAAUACGGGAUAUUCUGGGUCUGUCGCAUGAUGGGUCUGGGAAAGAUAUUGUUUCGGUGGGGGAUGGGCUCGCGGCCUAUCAGCUUGUUGGUGGGGUGAUGGCCUACCAAGGCGGUGAGGGGUAGCCGGCCUGAGAGGGUGGACGGCCAGAGAGGGGCUACGGCACCGCGAAGACUGCGACAGGCGGCAGCAGUGGAGAAGAGUGAACAGUGGGAAGAAGGCUGAAGCAGCGACGCGGGGGGGGGGAUGGAGGCCGUCGGGUAAUGAACCUCUUUCGGCAGUGAAGCAGGCCUGCCUCGUAUGUGGGUGGGUUGACGGUAGCUGGAGAAGAAGCGCCGGCUAACUACGUG